GACGAACGCUGGCGGCGUGCUUAACACAUGCAAGUCGAACGGAAAGGCCUGCUUUCCCUUGUGGAUUGCGGGUACUCGAGUGGCGAACGGGUGAGUAACACGUGAGUGAUCUGCCCCCAACUUGGGUAUAAGCCUGGGAAACUGGGUCUAAUUCCCGAUAGGACUGCAGGGUGGUGCCUGUGGUGGAAAACGAUGUUCUAGUGGUUGGGGAUGAGCUCGCGGCCUAUCAGCUUGUUGGUGGGGUAAUGGCCUACCAAGGCGGCGACGGGUAGCCGGCCUGAGAGGGUGGACGGCCACAUUGGGACUGAGAUACGGCCCAGACUCCUACGGGAGGCAGCAGUGGGGAAUAUUGCGCAAUGAGCGGAAGCCUGAUGCAGCGACGCCGCGUGGGGGAUGACGGCCUUCGGGUUGUAAACUCCUUUCGACCGCGAGGAAGCCACCUGGUUGGAAGGGUGGUGACGGUAGUGGUAGAAGAAGCACCGGCUAACUACGUG
rnacentral:rRNA from 1 species